rnacentral:lncRNA from 1 species
GCCAUAAAAGCAUGAGUCAUUAAAUGAAUUUUAUAUUUAUUGUAAGCCUCCACAUCAGCCUCGGACGAUUGAAACUUUGGCCAUUAUCAAGAACCUCUGAAGUUCAGAUCAACUUGUCUACAAGACGGUCACAUUACGGACGACCGCUUAGACCUCAACCGUAAUCGAGGUGUUUGGGGGCUGGAAUCCCCGACAUAACUAGAGUAUAUGGGCUCAGACCUCUAUCGUGGCC